rnacentral:rRNA from 1 species
GAUGAACGCUGGCGGCGUGCCUAAUACAUGCAAGUCGAGCGAACGGACGAGAAGCUUGCUUCUCUGAUGUUAGCGGCGGACGGGUGAGUAACACGUGGAUAACCUACCUAUAAGACUGGGAGAACUUCGGGAAACCGGAGCUAAUAACGGAUAAUAUUUUGAACCGCAGGGUUCAGAAGUGAAAGACGGUCUUGCCGUCACUUAUAGAUGAAUCCGCGCUGCAUUAGCUAGUUGGUAAGGGAACGGCUUACCAAGGCAACGAUGCAUAGCCGACCUGAGAGGGUGAACCGCCACACUGGAACUGAGACACGGUCCAGACUCCUACGGGAGGCAGCAGUAGGGAAAUUUCCGCCAUGGGCGAAAGCCUGACGGAGCAACGCCGCGUUAGUGAUGAAGGUCUUCGGAUCUUAAAACUCUGUUAUUUGGGAAGAAAAUAUGUGUAAGUAACUGUGCACAUCUUGACGGUACCUAAUCAGAAAGCCACGGCUAACUACGUG